GGCGCACGGGUGCGGAAACGUGUGCAACCUGCCUUUAUCAGGGGAAUAACCUUUCGAAAGGAAGAUUAAUGCCCCAUAAUAUAUCAUAUGGCAUCAUUUGAUAUUGAAAACUCCGGUGGAUAAAGAUGGGCACGCGCAGGAUUAGAUAGUUGGUAGGGUAACGGCCUACCAAGUCAGCGAUCCUUAGGGGGCCUGAGAGGGUGAUCCCCCACACUGGUACUGAGACACGGACCAGACUCCUACGGGAGGCAGCAGUGAGGAAUAUUGGACAAUGGGUGAGAGCCUGAUCCAGCCAUCCCGCGUGAAGGACGACGGCCCUAUGGGUUGUAAACUUCUUUUGUAUAGGGAUAAACCUACCCUCGUGAGGGUAGCUGAAGGUACUAUACGAAUAAGCACCGGCUAACUCCGUGCCAGCAGCCGCGGUAAUACGGAGGGUGCAAGCGUUAUCCGGAUUUAUUGGGUUUAAAGGGUCCGUAGGCUGAUGUGUAAGUCAGUGGUGAAAUCUCACAGCUUAACUGUGAAACUGCCAUUGAUACUGCAUGUCUUGAGUGUUGUUGAAGUAGCUGGAAUAAGUAGUGUAGCGGUGAAAUGCAUAGAUAUUACUUAGAACACCAAUUGCGAAGGCAGGUUACUAAGCAACAACUGACGCUGAU
rnacentral:rRNA from 1 species